UUGUGGCAAUGGUUAGAUGAGCACAUGAGGAAAAUCACUGGUUGAUGCCCUGAAGAACCAACCCCAAUCUCAGAACACACUGACUGUUACAAUCGUGUGCCACUGCCAGCCACUGCCAGGCCAGCGCUCUUUCUGCUGCUUCCAGAGUUCACUUUUCCUGCUGGCCACACUGCGGCGUGACCCACGCUGCCUAGCGGGUGGGGCAGGCAAAGCACAGCAAGGCACGUAACGGCUGAGCACUGCGAAGAGUCGCUUUCAGCACAAGGCUAGCCCAGCCAGCGGAGGCGAGACUCUUCAGUUCCCUCCUGCACCUCUGGCCACAGAGCUGCUCUUCUGAGCGGAGCAAGCUGUUUCUGUCAAGCCUCAGUUUUUCAGCUCUAAAAUGGGAACACUACAGUAGUCAAGUCAUAGUUGUACAUUCUUAAUUCUCAUAGAAUUUUUCAAAAUUCCAGGGCAGGCACCCGUCACUCUAAAAACCAAGAUACACUAAUGCCUCUGAAUGGCAUCCCUGUGCAGGUACACAGAUGGGGAAUUUCACAUGAACGGAGAGCACAAAGCCCACGUGGAAACGUCACAUCAGGGCCAUAAAUAAGUAAGUUCGUGGUUAUCUGCUAGUUUGUAUUACGGAUAUCUUUACUCUCUGCCCCCAGAGAUAUAAUCCAAACGUAACUGCAUUUUCCACACGAACAGCAAGAUUCAGGAUCAAAAAGUCAAUGGAACAACUUUUUUUUUUUCUGGGAAACUGGUAAUAGGUGUGGUGAGUGUUAUGUAGUAUCUAUGCGUUAUGAAGUGUAAGUGGGUAACUACAAAAUUUUCUCCACUCAAAAGGUAAUUAGUAAGGGCUUAGGGUGCAGCCCAGCGGUUAAGCACUUGCCGAGCAAGCAGGAGGCUCCAGGUUCCACUUCCAGCAGGGGGUACACGUGGGGGUGGACAAUUAGUGUCUGCUCCUGGUGCCACAGCCAGGGAUGAGGGGGAUACUGAUGUGCUGGCAGCCCAUGCUGCCUCCUAACAGCUCAGCCCGAUGACUGAAAAGCCUGCUUAACAAGGACCCUGUGCAUUUUUCAUAUUGGUUUCAGUCUUUAUGGACCAUAAAUACAGCCUUAAUACUACCAGGCAGAACUAAACCACUCUGCUCCUACAGCUUCACAAGCCUUCUUGCGUGUGAAGAUACCCAGCCGUGCUGCGCGAACGCACUCACGGGGUGACGGCCAACACAGGACUGCUCUGGCACGCCGCAGUGAGAAAGCUCCUAAACAAGCAGAGGCGAGGGGAGGGGAGGGGCUCCUCUGUAACAGGGGAAACGGGAAAGCCAUGUGCUGAAGAUUGUUUUCUUCCUCCUUAAUAAAACCACGAGGUGCUGUGAAGACAGCAUGGAGGGUCAGCGAGGACUUAGCGGGCCUUCAAGACAGGUUGCCCAGCAACAAGUGAUCCUGGGCGAAGAGCGUGUGUCUGCGGGAGGGGUCUGAUUAGGAGGAUCCCAGCCGGGGGAGAAGUCCUCCCCACUGGGUCUCAGCCCAAAGCUUCCGGCCCACAGGACAACAGUUCCCUUCUGGAGUCUAAUAAAAUAUAAACGGUUACAUUCCUAGUCUAAAGCUUAAUGUACAGAACACGGAGGGGGCAGCACUGUGUGGAGAUAAAACAGGAACACAAAAGGCAGUUUCUGAGGAGCUCCAGGAAACGGGCGUUGGCCGCACGGGGCCUGUAGCUGGCUGACAGAAGCCGCGGCUCAGGCGUGUGCUGUGUGUGCGUCUCUCCAGGGCAGCACGGGUGGGAGCCUCCGGAGGUGAGCCCGGCUGGAAGAACGCCCACUGAGGCAGACUGCUUCUGGAGCGCAAGGCAAACGACAAAUCCUCUCCUUCUCCACUUGGACAGGAAAACAGCUUACUCAUUCACCUCCAUGUUACACAAGAAAGUGGCAGCUGGAGUAGAGAGCGGCAGAGGCGGACACUGAGAGCUGAGCUGCGGACCCUCAGAGCACAGGUGACACUAUGAAGAAGACGCAGACUGGAAGAACUGCGAGGGAAGGCGGUGGUCCUGGUUUGGAGCAGGAACCAAGGCAGCUGUCUUCCUCCCUUACACGGCUAACUCACUGAAGAGCGAAAAGGCAGCACACCUUAACUGAAAAAUAAAAAUAUAAUACAAUAA